rnacentral:rRNA from 1 species
GACGAACGCUGGCGGCGUGCCUAAUACAUGCAAGUCGAACGCUGAAGAGAGGAGCUUGCUCUUCUUGGCUGAGUUGCGAACGGGUGAGUAACGCGUAGGUAACCUGCCUUGUAGCGGGGGAUAACUAUUGGAAACGAUAGCUAAUACCGCAUAACAAUGGAUGACACAUGUCAUUUAUUUGAAAGGGGCAAUUGCUCCACUACAAGAUGGACCUGCGUUGUAUUAGCUAGUAGGUGAGGUAAUGGCUCACCUAGGCGACGAUACAUAGCCGACCUGAGAGGGUGAUCGGCCACACUGGGACUGAGACACGGCCCAGACUCCUACGGGAGGCAGCAGUAGGGAAUCUUCGGCAAUGGGGGCAACCCUGACCGAGCAACGCCGCGUGAGUGAAGAAGGUUUUCGGAUCGUAAAGCUCGGUUGUAAGUCAAGAACGGGUGUGAGAGUGGAAAGUUCACACUGUGACGGUAGCUUACCAGAAAGGGACGGCUAACUACGUG